CACCACAGCUGCUGCUCGCUCACUCUCCUCAGAUGAACAAACGUGCGAGGUGGUUAUUUUUUCUCUCUCUUCGAAGAUAAAUUCGUCAUCGGCAUAAGUCUUCCCCUCUCAACGUCAUCAUCGUCGACAUCGUUAGAGUUUGUUGUGGUGCCGGUAUCAUAGGCUCGUCGACCAUUUUUUUUCUUUUUAUUCGCUUUUUCGAAUUUUUGUUCCUUCUUCUUUGACGAGCGGCGUACUUCGGAUUUUUAGUUCGUUUUGUUGUUUUCUGUCUUCGUUCUUCUUCGCUAUUGGAACAUCAUUCGACGCCGUUUUCCGCCAGCGAAUUAUUUUAUUCAGUUAAAUUUAUGUAUAUGUUUAUUUCUUAGAUUUAGUUUAUAUUGUAAUUCUGAACUGCUUUGUGCGGUUUUAAAUAAAUAACUGCUUUGUGCGGUUUUACCUAAAUAA